CCUACGGGGCGCAGCAGUGGGGAAUAUUGCACAAUGGGGGAAACCCUGAUGCAGCGACGCCGCGUGAGUGAGGAAGUAUUUCGGUAUGUAAAGCUCUAUCAGCAGGGAAGAAAAUGACGGUACCUGACUAAGAAGCCCCGGCUAACUACGUGCCAGCAGCCGCGGUAAUACGUAGGGGGCAAGCGUUAUCCGGAUUUACUGGGUGUAAAGGGAGCGUAGACGGAAUAGCAAGUCUGAUGUGAAAACCCGGGGCUCAACUCCGGGAGUGCAUUGGAAACUGUUGAUCUAGAGUGUCGGAGAGGCAAGCGGAAUGCCUAGUGUAGCGGUGAAAUGCGUAGAUAUUAGGAGGAACACCAGUGGCGAAGGCGGCUUACUGGACUGUAACUGACGUUGAGGCUCGAAAGCGUGGGGAGCAAACAGGAUUAGAUACCCUAGUAGUC
rnacentral:rRNA from 1 species